rnacentral:rRNA from 1 species
ACGGAAGGCAGCAGUGGGGAAUAUUGGACAAUGGGGGAAACCCUGAUCCAGCGACGCCGCGUGAGUGAAGAAGUAUUUCGGUAUGUAAAGCUCUAUCAGCAAGGAAGAAAAUGACGGUACUUGACUAAGAAGCUCCGGCUAAAUACGUGCCAGCAGCCGCGGUAAUACGUAUGGAGCAAGCGUUAUCCGGAUUUACUGGGUGUAAAGGGAGCGUAGACGGCAAAGCAAGUCCGAAGUGAAAUCCCGGGGCUCAACCCCGGAACUGCUUUGGAAACUGUUUAGCUAGAGUGCAGGAGAGGUAAGCGGAAUUCCUAGUGUAGCGGUGAAAUGCGUAGAUAUUAGGAGGAACACCAGUGGCGAAGGCGGCUUACUGGACUGUAACUGACGUUGAGGCUCGAAAGCGUGGGGAGCAACCAGGAUUAGAUACCCUGGUA